AUUGAACGCUGGCGGCAUGCCUUACACAUGCAAGUCGAACGGCAGCACGGGAGCAAUCCUGGUGGCGAGUGGCGAACGGGUGAGUAAUGUAUCGGAACGUGCCCAGUCGUGGGGGAUAACGUAGCGAAAGCUACGCUAAUACCGCAUACGAUCUAUGGAUGAAAGCGGGGGACCGUAGGGCCUCGCGCGAUUGGAGCGGCCGAUAUCAGGUUAGGUAGUUGGUGGGGUAAAGGCCUACCAAGCCGACGAUCUGUAGCUGGUCUGAGAGGACGACCAGCCACACUGGGACUGAGACACGGCCCAGACUCCUACGGGAGGCAGCAGUGGGGAAUUUUGGACAAUGGGCGCAAGCCUGAUCCAGCAAUGCCGCGUGCAGGAUGAAGGCCUUCGGGUUGUAAACUGCUUUUGUACGGAGCGAAAAGGCUCUCUCUAAUACAGGGGGCUCAUGACGGUACCGUAAGAAUAAGCACCGGCUAACUACGUGCCAGCCGCCGCGGUAACAC
rnacentral:rRNA from 1 species